UGUUAAUGUGCUUCAGAGACAUGCAUGGGUCCCCCGGCAAAUCAAAAUGUUUUUAAAUGUAUGAUAUGUGUGAAGUUGAUGAAAAUUCAUGACUUUUCCCUGUCAGAGCUGCUUGAGCUUAAAUCAUCAGAGAAAGCAUAACAGCUUGGAGUUUUCGAUGCACAGAGAAGGCUUCAUGAGGUGUUGAGUGGAUCCAUUUGCUCAGUGAUAAAGCAGACGGAACAAAAGAAGAAAUCGAAUCAGAGGUCCUCUGGUUCCCUUUGAGCACUUGCAUCCUGUAAUCAAGGAGAAGGGUGAAGACUGAGGGAGGACUGAGCCUUCAGGGCACCAGAUGGCAACUCUGAUUAAAGGGUACUCUGCUCGUCUGGCUGGGUGUCCUCUUCCCACCCUCCACUGCAGCUGUCUCAUGAGUGCACCCUUCCCCGACACCAAAAGAGGGCCCAUCUAGAUUGCAGGAGCAAAUCCAUCCUUGCCUGUGUCAUCCUCACAGAUGAUAAAAAUAACAUUAAU